rnacentral:rRNA from 1 species
UUAUCAUAAACGUACGCCUGCCCAGUGACUGCUCGUUAAACGGCCGCGGUACUCUGACCGUGCAAAGGUAGCGUAAUCACUUGUCUUUUAAAUAAAGACUAGUAUGAAUGGCAUCACGAGGACUAAUCUGUCUCCCUCCCCCAAUCAGUGAAACUGAUCUCCCCGUGCAGAAGCGGGGAUAACACCAUAAGACGAGAAGACCCUGUGGAGCUUCAAAUCAAAAAUCAACUGCUAUACCCCCACCUCCUGAGGACACACUUCCAUAGACUUGACUUAGAUUUUUAGCUGGGGCGGCUGUGGAGAAAAAACCAUCCUCCACGAAAUUCUACUCCAAGGGCUACCACCCUAGGUAAUAAUAAAUUAAUUUAAUUGACCCAAUUUUUGAUCAACGAACCAAGUUACCCCAGGGAUAACAGCGCAAUCCACUUUUAGAGUCCAUAUCGACAAGUGGGCUUACGACCUCGAUGUUGGAUCAGGGCACCCAAGUGGUGCAGCCGCUACUAAAGGUUCGUUUGUUCAACGAUUAAAGCCCUACGUGAUCUGAGUUCCAAAACCGGA